GCCCCGGUGGCGCAACUGGUCAGUGCAUCUGGCUGUUAACCAGAAGGUUGGUGGUUCAAGCCCACCCAGGGAUG